rnacentral:rRNA from 1 species
AUUGAACGCUGGCGGCAGGCCUAACACAUGCAAGUCGAACGAGUGGCGGACGGGUGAGUAAUGUCUGGGAACGUGCCUGAUGGAGGGGGAUAACUACUGGAAAGGGUAGCUAAUACCGCAUACUAUCAGAUGUGCCCAUAUGGGAUUAGCUUGUUGGUGGGGUAACGGCUCACCAAGGCGACGACCCGUCGCUGGUCUGAGAGGAUGACCAGUCACACUGGGACUGAGACACGGUCCAGACUCCUACGGGAGGCAGCAGUGGGGAAUAUUGCACAAUGGGCGCAAGCCUGAUGCAGCCAUGCCGCGUGUAUGAUGAAGGCCUUCGGGUUGUAAAGUACUUUCGGCGGGGAGGCGUUACCCGCAGAAUAAGCACCGGCUAACUCCGUGCCAGCAGCCGCGGUAAUAC